UACGGAGGGGGCAAGCGUUGUCCGGAAUCAUUGGGCGUAAAGGGCGUGUAGGCGGCUGGGCAAGUCGGAUGUGAAAUCCUGAGGCUCAACCUUGGAAGUGCAAUGGAAACUGGCUGGCUAGAGUCCCGGAGAGGGCGGCGGAAUUCCCGGUGUAGGGGUGAAAUCCGUAGAUAUCGGGAAGAACACCAGUGGCGAAGGCGGCCAGCUGGGCGGGGACUGACGCUGAGACGCGAAAGCGUGGGGAGCAAACAGG
rnacentral:rRNA from 1 species